UUUUAGCCCAGAUGGCAGUGAAAAGCCCACAGUCUUGUUGUUGCAUUUUUAUUAGUGACCAAAAGCGACUAAAAGAAGCUUUAUGGGUACUUUAUAAAAAUAGACAACGGGACGAGGACUUGUAACGUACAGCUGGUGUUUGC
rnacentral:misc_RNA from 1 species